UACAGAGGGUGCGAGCGUUGUCCGGAAUUAUUGGGCGUAAAGAGCGUGUAGGCGGCCAUACAGGUCCGUUGUGAAAACUGGAGGCUUAACCUCCAGACGUCGAUGGAAACCGUAUGGCUAGAGUCCGGAAGAGGAGAGUGGAAUUCCUGGUGUAGCGGUGAAAUGCGCAGAUAUCAGGAAGAACACCCGUGGCGAAGGCGGCUCUCUGGGACGGUACUGACGCUGAGACGCGAAAGCGUGGGGAGCGAACAGG
rnacentral:rRNA from 1 species